ACAUAUUACUAUGUCUGGCCAUAUUAACCAGGUUAUAAAAAUAUCAGGUAGGAGUCUGAAGCUUAGAAUUAACGAAUGUGAUCUAUCCCUGCUUAUCUGCUGGGGAUAGAUUCUAAGACCCCGCCCCCCGCAGUGGAUGCCCAAAACCACAGAUAGUACCAAACACUAUAUAUAUAUAUAUAUAUAUAUGUAAUGCACAAAUUUAUUUUUCCUUCUUCACAAUUUCAUGGAUAGAUUUGUUCUUACAAUAGACCUUAGCAACCUCAGUACAUGAUGUUUUUUUCUUUCCUCAUCAAGUCGAGAACUUUACUCAAAUAAACAUGCUUAUUAUUGCAACUUGGAGAGGGAUGCAACGACAUGCAGAGAGAGCUCCCACACAUCAUUUUCGCCUUCAUUUCCUAAUCUUAUCUACUUUUAUUUCAUGCCACAUGAAAAAUGAACAGGGAACUACUUGCUAUUUUUGAUGUCUUUUCUGUUUAAGUAUUCUUCCCCCACCUGCUGCUUUAAUGAGAAGUGACACUGUGUUCUUAGAAGAAGUCAGAGCCAAGUUCCACCCAUUCACACCAGGCCAGGCCAACCAGGAAGACAAAACCAACACCUGCGGCCCGGGAGAAAUGGAGGUGCCAGCUCCUUGUGGAAAUGGGGAAUGGAUCUCAUGAAGUCAGCCAACAGACCUAGCACUGCCUUUCCAAAUUUCUUAGCGACCGAAUGAGACGCUGGCAAAUGAAAAUGUGUAGAUAAAAAGAAUUAUGGAGACCAAUUGGUUUUAGAUAUUUAUUUGCAUAACUAGUGUAGAGAGCCUUUCUCAAAUGGUCCUCUAAGCCUGGCCCUUGUGUUUUAUAAUGAACACAUUUCACAAUAUCAGGCCACAACCGAUUGUACAUUCAUAUCUAUGAAAAAUAAUACACAUGGUUGGGAAGUUACUUUUUACAACAAUAGAGCUGCCAUUAUUCUUAGAGUUAACUCAUCCUUGAGGAUGAUAUUAGGGGCUCUAACAAAUUUAUUGUAAUUGCAAGGAUAGGAAAUCUUCACUUUAUGUGUGUAGAUUGAGUUGAUCUUUAAUAACAGCCAAAAGUUUUUCAGAACCAUGGGAAAUAGAGAUGGGAAACAAGCCUGGGACAUUGGUUUUGAGUAUGGGGAGGCAGGGGGCAGCAUACUAAAAAGGGCUCAAGAUUCUAAGUCAG
rnacentral:lncRNA from 10 species